CCCUUAGAUGUUCUGGGCCGCACGCGCGCUACACUGACGAAUGCAACGAGCUUAUAACCUUGGCCGAAAGGUCUGGGUAAUCUCCAAAUUUCGUCGUGAUGGGGAUAGAUUAUUGCAAUUAUUAAUCUUCAACGAGGAAUGCCUAGUAAGCGCAAGUCAUCAGCUUGCGUUGAUUACGUCCCUGCCCUUUGUACACACCGCCCGUCGCUCCUACCGAUUGAAUGGUCCGGUGAAGCGCUCGGACCGCGGCCUCUUGACGGUUUUCCGUCGAUUGGCUGUGGGAAGUUCGUUAAACCUUAUCAUUUAGAGGAAGGAGAANUCGCAACA
rnacentral:rRNA from 1 species